CAGGAUGAACGCUAGCGACAGGCUUAACACAUGCAAGUCGAGGGGCAGCAUAAAAGUAGCAAUACUUGGUGGCGACCGGCGCACGGGUGAGUAACGCGUAUGCAACCUACCUAUCAGAGGGGAAUAACCCGGCGAAAGUCGGACUAAUACCGCAUAAAACAGGGACACCGCAUGGUGAUAUUUGUUAAAGAAAUUCGCUGAUAGAUGGGCAUGCGUUCCAUUAGGUAGUUGGUGAGGUAACGGCUCACCAAGCCGACGAUGGAUAGGGGAACUGAGAGGUUGGUCCCCCACACUGGUACUGAGACACGGACCAGACUCCUACGGGAGGCAGCAGUGAGGAAUAUUGGUCAAUGGGCGAGAGCCUGAACCAGCCAAGUCGCGUGAAGGAAGAAGGAUCUAUGGUUCGUAAACUUCUUUUGCAGGGGAAUAAAGUGCAGGACGUGUCCUGUUUUGUAUGUACCCUGAGAAUAAGGAUCGGCUAACUCCGUGCCAGCCGCGGC
rnacentral:rRNA from 1 species